UACGGAGGAGGCAAGCGUUAUCCGGAAUUAUUGGGCGUAAAGCGUCCGCAGGUGGCACUUCAAGUCUGUCGUCAAAGACUGGGGCUUAACCCUGGAAAGGCGGUGGAAACUGAAGCGCUAGAGUGCGGUAGGGGUUGAGGGAAUUCCCGGUGUAGCGGUGAAGUGCGUAGAGAUCGGGAAGAACAUCGGUGGCGAAAGCGCUCUACUGGACCGCAACUGACACUCAGGGACGAAAGCUAGGGGAGCGAAUGGG
rnacentral:rRNA from 1 species